AUGGCGUCCCUCUCCCUCGAGGACGUCCGCAACGAGACCGUCGACCUGUCGACGGUGACGGUGGAUGAGGUGUUCAAGACGCUCAAGUGCGACAGGAAGGGGCUGAGCGAGGCGGAGGGCGAGAACCGGCUCAAGCUCUUCGGCCCCAACAAGCUGGAGGAGAAGAAGGAGAGCAAGCUGCUCAAGUUCCUGGGCUUCAUGUGGAACCCGCUGUCAUGGGUCAUGGAGAUCGCCGCCAUCAUGGCCAUCGCGCUCGCCAACGGCGGCGGCAGGCCGCCGGACUGGCAGGACUUCGUCGGCAUCGUCACCCUCCUCUUCAUCAACUCCACCAUCAGCUACAUCGAGGAGGCCAACGCCGGGGACGCCGCCGCCGCGCUCAUGGCCGGGCUCGCGCCCAAGACCAAGCUGCUCAGGGACGGCAGCUGGGAGGAGCGGGACGCCGCCAUCCUCGUGCCCGGAGACAUCAUCAGCAUCAAGCUCGGCGACAUCAUCCCCGCCGACGCCAGGCUGCUCGAGGGCGACGCGCUCAAGAUCGACCAGUCGGCGCUCACGGGCGAGUCGCUGCCGGUGAACAGGUACUCCGGGCAGGAGGUGUUCUCAGGCUCCACGGUGAAGCAGGGCGAGCUCGAGGCCGUCGUCAUCGCCACCGGCGUGCACACUUUCUUCGGCAAGGCCGCGCACCUCGUCGACAGCACCAACAACGUCGGACACUUCCAGCAGGUGCUCACGGCCAUCGGCAACUUCUGCAUCAUCUCCAUCGCCGCGGGCAUGCUCGUGGAGAUCAUCGUCAUGUACCCGAUCCAGCACCGCGCGUACCGCGACGGCAUCGACAACCUCCUCGUGCUCCUCAUCGGCGGCAUCCCCAUCGCCAUGCCCACCGUGCUCUCCGUCACCAUGGCCAUCGGCUCCCACCGGCUGUCGCAGCAGGGCGCCAUCACCAAGCGCAUGACGGCCAUCGAGGAGAUGGCCGGCAUGGACGUGCUCUGCAGCGACAAGACCGGCACGCUCACACUCAACAAGCUCACCGUCGACAAGACCCUCAUCGAGGUGUGCUCCAAGGGCGUCGACAAGGACAUGGUGCUCCUCUACGCCGCCAGGGCGUCCCGUGUCGAGAACCAGGACGCCAUUGACACGUGCAUCGUCAACAUGCUCGCCGACCCCAAGGAGGCCCGCGCCGGCAUUAAGGAAGUCCACUUCCUACCCUUCAACCCGGUGGACAAGCGCACGGCCAUCACCUACAUCGACGGCAACGGCGACUGGCACAGGGUCAGCAAGGGCGCGCCCGAGCAGAUCAUCGAGCUCUGCAAGAUGGCACCGGACGCCGAGAAGAAGGUGCACACGCUCAUCGACUCAUACGCCGACCGCGGCCUUCGGUCCCUCGGCGUGUCGUACCAGCAGGUCCCGGAGAAGAACAAGGAGAGCGCGGGCGACCCGUGGCAGUUCAUCGGGCUGCUCCCCCUGUUCGACCCUCCGAGGCACGACAGCGCGGAGACCAUCCGCCGCGCGCUCCACCUCGGCGUCAACGUCAAGAUGAUCACCGGCGACCAGCUGGCCAUCGGGAAGGAGACCGGGCGGCGGCUCGGCAUGGGCACCAACAUGUACCCGUCCACGGCCCUCCUGGGCGACAAGAACACGGCCGUGGACGGCCUCCCCAUCGACGAGCUCAUCGAGAAGGCCGACGGGUUCGCCGGGGUGUUCCCGGAGCACAAGUACGAGAUCGUGAAGCGGCUGCAGGACAAGAAGCACAUCGUGGGGAUGACGGGCGACGGCGUGAACGACGCGCCGGCGCUGAAGAAGGCCGACAUCGGCAUCGCCGUGGACGACGCGACGGACGCGGCCCGGUCGGCGUCGGACAUCGUGCUGACGGAGCCCGGGCUGAGCGUGAUCGUGAGCGCGGUGCUGACGAGCCGCGCCAUCUUCCAGCGGAUGAAGAACUACACCAUCUACGCGGUGUCCAUCACGAUCCGGAUCGUGCUCGGGUUCAUGCUGGUGGCGCUGAUCUGGAAGUUCGACUUCGCGCCCUUCAUGGUGCUCAUCAUCGCCAUCCUCAACGACGGCACCAUCAUGACCAUCUCCAAGGACCGGGUGAAGCCGUCGCCGAAGCCGGACUCAUGGAAACUCGACGAGAUCUUCGCGACGGGGGUGGUGCUGGGCACGUACAUGGCGCUGGCCACCGUGGUCUUCUUCUACCUGGCGCACGACACGGACUUCUUCACGGAGACGUUCGGGGUGCACCCGAUCAGGGACAACGACCGGCAGCUCAUGGCGGCGCUGUACCUGCAGGUGAGCAUCAUCAGCCAGGCGCUCAUCUUCGUGACGCGGUCGCGGAGCUGGUCCUUCGUGGAGCGGCCGGGGUUCCUGCUGCUGUUCGCCUUCUUCGCGGCGCAGCUGAUGGCGACGGCGAUCGCCGUGUACGCCAACUGGGACUUCUGCGACAUGGAGGGGAUCGGGUGGGCGUGGGGCGGCGCCAUCUGGGUCUUCACCCUCGUCACCUACAUCCCGCUGGACGUGCUCAAGUUCAUCAUCCGCUACUCGAUCAGCGGCAAGGGGUGGAACAACGUACAGAACAAGACGGCGUUUACCAACAAGAAGGACUACGGCAGGGGCGAGCGGGAGGCGCUGUGGGCCAGGGAGCAGAGGACGCUCAACGGCCUCAGCCAGCCGGCCGGCUCCGACCUCCUCAGCAACAAGGAGGAGCUCUCCGACAUCGCCGCGGAGGCCGCCAAGCGCGCCGAGAUCGCCAGGCUCAGGGAGCUGCACACGCUCAAGGGCCACGUCGAGUCGGUCGUCAAGCAGAAGGGCAUCGACAUCGACGCCAUUCCGCAGAACUACACCGUCUGA
rnacentral:rRNA from 1 species